ACAUAUUCGCACAUACUUAUGGCUUUCCUGAAUGCCACACUCUCCACCAGGCCUCUUCCCCACCGCCCCUCUGCCAGCUUUCCUGGAUGUCUCUGCCCCCUUGCGUCUAAACGUGGCUCACACCUUCACCUGUCCCUUCCUCCUCCCUUCGCUAUAAGAAGAGGUGCUCACUGCAUUCCUGGGACUGACCUCCUCCCCGAGACCACACACCACCCCUGCUUCUCCUGCCUACCAUGACCUCUCUCCCUCGGGGGUACCCUCUGGGUCUUUGGGCCUACUUUCUACCCCCUUCCUUAUCCCUUGCAAACAACUUCCAGUAUAUCACCCUCGCGAGGAAAAAGGAACAGAAAAACCUGCAUGUGACUCUUCGCUUCCUGUAGCUGAGACCCACAGAUGUGUGGUCUUUGCCAGCUGUUUCUCUCCAUUCACACCUGGCUCCCAUUCACACCUUGCAAACUGGCUUCUGCUCUACCCUUCCCUGAAACGGGGACACACCAGAAGGGCCACUGGUGAGCCUUAAGCCUCAAAUCCAAUGUCUUCUCAGCCUUCAUGUCCCUCACCUCUCAGCGACCUUUGACCCAGAGACCUGUCUGGCCCUGCACAAGGCCCAGCGUGAUCUGGUCUCAGCAGCCGGGACCGGGAGUCGGACUGCCUGGUAUCAAGUCCCAGCGGUCCCUUUUCUAGCUGACUGCAGGCCAGUUACCUAGCCUCUUGUACUUCGGUUUGCUUCUUUAUCCAAUGGGGAUAAUAAUGCUAUUUACCUCACAGGGUCCUUGUGAAGAAUAAGUAAAAUUAUGCACAUAAACAUCUCGGAACAAUGCCUGGCACCGAAGGAAAGCCUAGCAAGUUAGCUAUUAGUCCACGGCCUUGCUGGUCUUACCACAUGCACCCUCCCCUCCUUGGGGCCCGGCUUAGGUUCUGCGAAUGCAAGCAAGGCCUUUGCUUUCCUUCUUCCUGGAAGGUGCAAGUAACAAAUCUGAACUCAAAUGGGCUUUAGCAAAAAAAAAAAAAAAGGGAGGGGGACAUUUCAUCGCUCCCAUAAUGGGACAGUCUAUAUCCAGGUCAGGUGAGGCUUCAACUAGGGCUCUGCACUGAGCCUUGCCCCCCUCUGUUCUUCUGGGCUCCAUCUCCUAGGCUAGGAGGCAGGAGCAGCCCUCAUGGUCCCAAGAUGGCCCCAGUAGCUACCAAAUCGCCCUCUUCUUGGUGGCAGUCUAGCACAUAGAGACCAUCUGCUUCUUGGGAAGUUCAAACUCAAGUCCAGGAAUAGAGUCUCUCUGAGCUGCCCACUUUGAGCCAUGUGCCCCUCUCUGAGCCAAUCACUAGGGUCAGGGGCUUAGGGUAGUCAGAGUCCACCUUCUGAGAUGGGGGUGGUGGUGAGGCAGUAUCACGCAACGGAUGGGGACUGGGACCAGCUGCAGAGAAAUCCUGAGUACAACUCGUACCAGGAAGGGGAGGACACCAACUGUAUCUGGAUGCCGUCUCCUCCAGGAAGCCUUCCUUGAGCCCUGCUGCCCCAGUUACGUCUGUAACUUUCUACAUCCCUCGCUUCCCCUGCUCGCCCCUCAUUCCCUUCCCUCUUCUUUCUGUCUCUGCUCCCAGUAGAACAUACGCUUCCCAAGGGUAGGAGCUGGGCAAGUUGGUUUCCACCGCUCAGGGCCCAACAACGGCAGUCUAAAAGUGUAGCUCACGAAACUGUACCCCCGCGCCCCGGGCUUCUGGCCUCUGCGUUCUCCCGGUUCUUCCCCCUUCUUACACGUUCUUUUCUGUCUUUCCUCUGCUUGCUGCUCUCACCCCUGAACUCAGCCUUCCCCCCAGGUGCGGCUUUUGGAGGCCUUCGGGAUAGCUUCUGGGAAAGCCUCCUGAUGUAAAUAAACCUUCAGCUCUGGUCUCCGUGCUGGAUUUCAGUCCCGGAGUUCUAACUGGGCGGGACGUGGCCCUCAAUAAUCUUCCCGGAGCGGUGGAUUUGAGAGGCAACACAACGGGAUUAUGAGAAUAUUUGAGCCAAAUGGGCCUUUGCCUCACCUUUGGUGUCAGGCGGAAGCUUCUGGUUUUCUGACGUCUUUGUCUCCGUUGGUGUGACACGGACAGGGUCUGGAGGAGGUACAUGGACAGAAAAGCGAUGACUCUCAGUCAGGUAAGGGACUGUGAAACCCUUCCACCUGGCCACCACCAUGAGGCUCAAGGCCGAUCUACAGCUCAACGGUGGCUUCUCAGGACCACUCACUGUGUAUUUUCUGUGGUCCUCAUGCUUCAGUUCUUAUUUGUAUUUUCCUAAUUUAUUGCAUGCAUUUCCUGUGAGCUGUCUCAAAUCCUCUCUGGAACAAGGUGGGGAAUACAUUAAUAUUUAAAAUAAAAUAAACAAAAUGUCA